rnacentral:rRNA from 1 species
CACGAACGCUGGCGGCAGGCUUAACACAUGCAAGUCGAGCGCCCCGCAAGGGGAGCGGCAGACGGGUGAGUAACGCGUGGGAAUCUACCGUGCCCUACGGAAUAGCUCCGGGAAACUGGAAUUAAUACCGUAUACGCCCUACAGGGGAAAGAUUUAUCGGGGUAUGAUGAGCCCGCGUUGGAUUAGCUAGUUGGUGGGGUAAAGGCCUACCAAGGCGACGAUCCAUAGCUGGUCUGAGAGGAUGAUCAGCCACAUUGGGACUGAGACACGGCCCAAACUCCUACGGGAGGCAGCAGUGGGGAAUAUUGGACAAUGGGCGCAAGCCUGAUCCAGCCAUGCCGCGUGAGUGAUGAAGGUCUUAGGAUUGUAAAGCUCUUUCACCGGUGAAGAUAAUGACUGUACCCACAGAAGAAGCCCCGGCUAACUCCGUGCCAGCCGCCGCAGUAAUAC